AAUUGCUGAGUCACUUGUGGAGUGGAAUAAUAUUUUUGAAUGAGCUUUUUGUUUCCCAUAUUUAUUCUUACCUCUUGGCCUUUACCCCAUUCAUCCAGCGAAGCAUAUAGUUCAUUGCCUCAAGAAGGGGUGAUAGAGUAGAUAUACAGAGACAAAAAAGGAGUUGAUUCUUAAGCUUUGAGUUUCAAAGCCUGAGCCUCACGGAAGAGGAAGGACCCACGUAGAGAAAACAAGUUUGAUACAAGAUGUGAGGAGUUCGAAAGAGCUAACUCAUAGGCAGGCUUCCUGGGCUGGAGUAUGGUGGACAGGGGCGAGAUGGAGGGAACACAGCCUAGUGGGAGACAGAGACAGGUGGGAUCUAGGAUGAGGGACCAGGUCUGGAGGCUUCACACAGACAGGCCCAGAGCCAGUCUCCAGAGAUAGCUUGCCCACAGUUGACCAUGCUCUAGAGUGAGUGCUGUUUGGCACCAGGGAAUCACGUGAGAGCUGAGUUAGCAGCCUCAGAUGGUCCAGUUUCUUUCCAGUGGGGAGUGUAUAUCACCUUAGCUGUCCCUCUUGUUAGUGCUGGGGUCUUUUAAUGUUGGGGAGGAGUGAAGAUGGAGGGAAUACAACUUGGUGGGAGGCAGAGACAGGUGAGAUCUGGGAUGUGCCUGAGCUCUGAACAAACUCAGAAAUAAAACCAAGAAGGGCAAACAUCUACAAUAUCACCGUUCCUAUUGAUAAACCCUAGGUUGCAGAUGUAGAAUAUGGAUUACAGAACCCCAGAUGAGAGAGAUGUAUCUUCUCUCCCACAGGCAGUGCUGGAUGAAGGGCAGGCCCUCCCUCUGGGACGUGAUGGGAUGUCCCAUGAGUUUUUUGGCAGCUCCCACUACUCAUCCUGGGAAAUUAAUUCUCUCCACUGUGUGCAGUCUCAGUUUGGUCGGAAGCCCAGGUAUUUGCUCUGCCAUUAUGGACCGUAAAGUGAUUCCUGGAGGCUCCUUUCAUCGGAUCCUUUUUCUUAUCACUCAAGAACCACCAAGAGGUAGGCACAUGGUACUAUCAGAGUCUCAUGCAACUUUAAAUCUUGGGUGGAAUUAUGCAAAGUUGGAGGAAAUUAUUGGAGCUCCUGAAUGUCAAUGGUACAAUUUGGGCAAGAUUGACAGCAAGACCUUCUGGAGUCCCCUGGUUUUGUGUAGUUCAAGACUCGAUUGUCAUCUCUUCCUUCCAAUUUGUGGUCCCCCUAUAUCCUUUCAGUUAAUCCUUCCCUUUGUGAUUAUGUUUGCUGGGACAGUUUCUGUUGCCUGCCACCAUAGAACCUUAACUGAUUCCUACAGCUUGGGAGGAAGCAUCAUGAAGUGGAAGAACCCUGAGCAGAGAGUCAUGGGACCUGAGCUCUAGUUGUGGCUUUGCAGCUAACUUGCUUUGAGACCCAGGAGAGAUCCUCAAACCUCUUUGGACUUUAAUUUCCUCAUCUAUGAAGACAAUAGGCCAGAUAACCUUGAAGGUUCAGUUUUUAAAACUAUAAUUUCAUGGCUCGGUUGUUACUUACUGGUUAGGGACCACUAUCAGAAAAUAAUGAUGCUUUAAUUAAAGUAAGAACUUUUGUAGAAGUUUCCCUUGAUGUUUCAACACAUGAGGUGCUGUGACUAUGCCAGAUAUGUCAAUCCGUGACUGAGUGUUUACUCCGUAGGUCAUCUCUUGGGUGGGGUGACCGGAUAUUGGAACAGAUUCCUACAACAGAGAGAGUGAAGGGGCAUGUAACUGCCUGUUCUUGGAAAAUAUUACUUCAGCUCACUGGGGUGUUUCUGACAGAAUGAGCCUCAAAGAUGAUUGAUGGGGUUGGCUUUAGAUCCAGAGAGUGGGAAAUGCUGACGCAUUACAUUAAAAUUCAAAUAGAACCCAUUCAGCAGAUAUUUGCUGGGAGUAAGGCACCCUGCCUUUCAGAGGGCUUGAGCCUGUUGUAAAUUUGAGGUGUGUAUACACAAUGCCUCAUUUGGGAGUGAUUGUCACGGAAUGUUUCCUAACUUUUCUAGGCUUUUCCUUGUUUCUGGUUUCGUAAAAUUUGG
rnacentral:lncRNA from 1 species